UGGGGAAGUAUUGGUCAAUGGGCGCAAGCCUGAUCCAGCCAUGCCGCGUGAGUGAUGAAGGCCUUAGGGUUGUAAAGCUCUUUGUUCCGGGAAGCUGUACCGGAAGAAUAAGCCCCGGCUAACUUCGUGCCAGCAGCCGCGGUAAUACGAAGGGGGCGAGCGUUGCUCGGAAUCACUGGGCGUAAAGGGCGCGUAGGCGGACUCUUAAGUCGGGGGUGAAAGCCCAGGGCUCAACCCUGGAAUUGCCUUCGAUACUGGAGUCUUGAGUCGGAAGAGGUUGGUGGAACUGCGAGUGUAGAGGUGAAAUUCGUAGAUAUUCGCAAGAACACCAGUGGCGAAGGCGGCCAACUUGUCCGAACUGACGCUGAGGCGCGAAAGCGUGGGGAGCAAACAGGAUUAGAUACCCUAGUAGU
rnacentral:rRNA from 1 species